rnacentral:rRNA from 1 species
CAUUACCGAGAUCGGGCCCCUGGGGGCCUGACCCUCCCACCCUUUUAUACCCUCGUUGCUUCGGCGCACCCCGGGUCAACGGUCUGCUCGACACGCCGCCCGGGCCGUCAGUGGCCCCAUCAAUUCUGAAUUAUCGGUGACGUCUGAGCGUACCAAAAACAAAAUUUUCAACAACGGAUCUCUUGGUUCCGGCAUCGAUGAAGAACGCAGCGAAAUGCGAUAAGUAAUGUGAAUUGCAGAAUUCAGUGAACCAUCGAAUCUUUGAACGCACAUUGCGCCCUCUGGUAUUCCGGAGGGCAUGCCUGUCCGAGCGUCAUUGCACCUCUCAAGCCCAGCUUGGUAUUGGGCGUCGUCCCCCGGGACGGGCCUAAAAAUCAGUGGCGGUGCAGCCGGUACUCGAGCGCAGUAGACCGCUCCGGAGUCUCCGGCUGGACCCGCCAGACAACCCCCUUGAUUACGCUG